GGAUGUGUGGUAAGACUGUUAUGCCAACUUUUAAGAAUAGCAUGUAAAGCAUUUUCUGCCUUGGCUAGAUGGUGCAAGGGCAGCCUUUAAGCAGCUGAAGCAUUCCCUGAGGAGAGCUCUGGGUCUGCCAUAUGUCUCAGAAGUGUUGGAAGCAUCUUUGGUGGGGAGGGCAAACAAAGGCCAAGGUGUGCAGUGACCCCCCUGAGAAGGGACUUUGAGUUAAUGGCAUUCCUGCAAGUGAACUUUGUGGGCUGUUCCCUCUGUAGGGCAGGUGAUAGUCCCAGCUACAGUGAUGGGGAAAAACAGUUAAAAGGGAGCCCCAAAAGCUGGAAAUUGCCCUGGAGGCUCUUGGCCAACAGAGUUUCCUGAGUUCUCCCUGCAAGAAGGAUAGUGAUAGCUUUUGAGUGCUGGUAGAUCCUUUGAAUAGAUAGCCUUGAGUGUGUCCUUGUUGCACCAGUAGGCCUUGUCAAAUUCCCCAUAUUGCAGGGGAUAUACAUGUUAAAGUUAAAAAUGAUCUUCCUAAUCCUUUGUUGUCUUGAGGCUCUCCCCUGCAGGAACUCCAGGAACUCCUGGUGCCGCCUGGGCCGAUGGAUUGGAUGCCCCAGCCCCUCCGUUCCUGCCCAGCCACUGGGUCCGUGUCCAGUGGUGGCACUGCCAGCCCUGCAGUGGGAUGUAGCCUGGAAAGUGCACAGAGCUGAGCCAAGGGAUUGAAAGGGACCAACCAAGGGAGGUGAAGGAAGAAGAGAGUGAGGCAGCAGGCAAGCAGCACCACGUUGCUGUGUAAGCAGGUUCCCCUCUCGUCACAGGCUGCAGCAAAAGCAGGAGUAGAGCAUCCCUUUGGUCUCGCCCCAGCAGUGUGUGCAGGAGAACAUCAGGAACAUUGGGGACCAUACAGGUCAGUCUUGCCCCAGCAGUGUGUGCAGGAGAACAUCAGGAACAUUGGGGACCAUACAGGUCAGGUGUCCAAUUGUGCAAGGCUCUCUGACUGCACGUGUUGGAAUUCCUGGCCAUGCCCUGUCUCCACAAAGAAGAAAUUCCUUUUGGAAGACUGUGGGGUUUGGUCAGACUGACUGAAUGGUUUCCACUCCUGUGUCGUUGCACCACAGUGACUCAUUUCUAUGCGUGUCACCGUAGGCAUUGUUCCCUGCUUCUCAUGGCUUGUCCAGGAGAUGGAAUUCCAGUGCUACACAAUAGAUGGCUCGUGGUGCUCCCAAAAGGAGCCUUUCUGUCUUCAGGGCAAGUUCUGGUGCCCCUGGAGCUGUUGGGAGAAGCAAAGGGGUGGCAGUGAGAGGCCUGGAAUGAUGUUGCUGUAGCACAGACAUUGUUCCCUGGCAGGUUCCUGGCUUGGAUUCCUUGGCUGCCACUUGGCAAGGCCUGGAAGGGCCUCAGUUGUGUAGGGAACCAAACAUGGAAUGGGAAAGCAAAGGGGGGGAGGUUCUGGUUUCAGAAGGGAUCAUUGCCUUCUCUUUCUGAAGGGACAGUGAGCUGGUCCAACUGUGGCAAGAAGAGCAAGUGGGCUGUGAAGGUUUGGAGCAGUCUGCAAGGUUCCUCAUGCCCAAAGGAAGUGCAGCCAUGGGAGAGUCAGGAAUACUGACAAGUGCCCCAGUUCUGGUGAAGCUCAACUGUGUAAAACACUUAUGGAGCUAAAAUUCCACAGCACUGAGCUAUUGGGUCCCAAAUAAUAGUGAAGAGAGAGGCAGAAACUCCCCCUGCUGCUGGGGCUGAACUGUCUGCAGUGACUGGGCAGGACUUGGCCCUGAUGCCUGAGUGCUCUCCAACCCCCCCAGGCUCGAUCCCAGCUGUCAGCCCCUGGCUCCAUAACUUGAGAAGAGGGUGUUCCUGCAAGCCCAGCUGCUGUGUUGGUGGUCCUGGGGGCACCUCCUGCCCUGGCCUGCUGUGAAUGUGUUUGUGUUGUAGCUCAAUAAAGUCCCUUUCAGUGGUGA